CCCGGGUGUCGGGGCUGGGGCGCGGAGUGGCAGUCUCGGCCGCCACGUGGCCGGGAGGAGAAAUGCAAACAAGGAAACCGGGGAAGGGGGGAAGAGGGGUGAGUCAUUGCGGCCCCGCCCGGGAGGGAAAUCCGGGCUGGGGCCUCUUCCCGGCCGGGGGCGCCUGCCUCUUGUUUCUCUGCAGGGUCUCCACCAGCCCGGGGCGGGGGGAGGGAUUGGACGGCUUUCCCGUGGGGAAUCCCGCUGCGGAGCCUCCCACUGUUGCGUUCCUGGAUGCUCGCCCCCUCCUCCGCCCCAGCACGCAGGCCGGGCGCGAGUGAGGAAACUGAGGCUACAGAGGAAGGAGAUCGCUCCGGAAUGCACCGGGGCAGGAGUCGCGGCGGAGCUUCCAGGAGGAAAGCGGGUUCUAGGAGGUCGCGCACCGCGCGCGCUCCCCGGCGGCCGGGCAGGCGGAGGCAGAGUCCUACGCUGCGAGUUCAGCGCUGACCCCCACACACUGUGGGCCUCAGUGGUGGCCCAGAGCUGCCCUCUCCGCCCCACUCCUGCUUCCCAGAGGGCGGGGAGACAGUGGCCCCCGGCCGGCGACUCCCGUGGCGUCCCAUGACUGCUCAGGACUACAAUGAGGGUUUGGAGUGAGACACAUGCCCCGCCCCCAGCUUUCUAGGGCUCGUUCCCAUUUUGCCCGUCUCUUCCCUUUUCCAUUUGUUGUUGAGCCUGCCCGGACUUGGGGAGAAACAUCUCUAACAAGCGUCUACUCCCUCUUUUAGGACAUCAGGGAGAGAGUAAUUUUGUUAAAAUCUCGGGGGGUUUUGGUUCUCGUAUGGGGGGGGCGGGUUGUAUUUGUUUGGUUUUUGCUCAGGCUGGUCUUGAACUCCUGAGUUUAAGCAAUCCGCCCUCCUCGGCUUCCCAGAGUCCUGCGAUUAAAGGCAUGAGCCAACGUGCCUGGCCUGAAAAAUCUCAGUUUGAAAAUUUCUGCAUUUUAUUAACAAUCGUUUCAUCCCCCCAAAUUCAGAUUCAGUCCUGUUGGCAUGAGAUGGAAAAUCUGUGUUUUGAACAAACAUCUUAGGCCAUCUGCUGUGUCUACACUUAAACACUGGUGGCAUUUUAAACGCUCCUCCAUGGCAAGAGGAGAGCCUGAGAAUGAAUGUGACACAAACCCAUCCACCCAAGUUCUGGUCAUUUGGAAGAAGGAAGAACGGCCUGGAUACUGGCAGGAAAGGAUGACAAGCUGGGAGUCACAGGCAUGCACAGGAAAAAGAGUUGGGGCGGGGGGAGGGUUUAAGUGAGUUUUAGGUUGCUGGGGCUAGUGGCUUGACUUAGAAGUUCUUGAAGGAGAGUUUCCGGAGACUGACAGUGGGAGUCAGCAAGGGGUCCCCUAUUUCCUAUUCCCACUUCCCCUACUUUUAGCAGGUGGAAAAGAUGCGGAGAGGCAGGAUGCCUGCUUAUCUUUCAGCAAGGCCACAGAAACUUGUCAUGGGCUGGUACCAUUCAAGUGUUUUCCAUGUAUUUAACCCCUGCCACGAUGCUAUGAGAGACGGAGCAGAUGGCCUGUGAUGAUGACCUGUUCACUAGUAGCUCAAGGAGAUCACAGUGUACCCCUGUCCUGUUUCUGUUGCUAGCAGGCAAGGCCCCCAGCCUCCUGCCAAGGCAGGUGAUGAGGAAGGUUUUCCUUCUCUCAGGAUUUCUGGAUGGGGACCGGCCAUUGGCGUUUGUGCUCAGUAGAUAAUUGAUAGAGACUGAGGCCUGGAGGGGGCAAAGGACUGGGAGUGUGUCUGAGGAAGACAUUCAGGCCAGAUGGUUAGUCAUCUUGGGGACACUCAUGCCACGUCCGGGUGUAGCCUCCACCCUCCUAUGACUGUCACUAGAUGCCAGGCAGGUGUGUUGGGACAGAUAAAUAAUAACAAUAGUUCACAUGCACCAGUCCCUGUUCUUGAAUUUUAUAAACACUGAUUUAAUUGUCACAACUACCUUAUGAGACAAAGUUGUUAUUAUAGUUAUGCCAUUUUACAGAUGAAGAAGCCGAGAUACAAAGACGUUAAAUGACUUGUCCGAGGUCCUGCCACUAGGAAGUGGUGGAGCAGUGAUUCCACCCAGGUGAUUGCGAUUCUGUGCGCUUUAUCAUUCUGCAGUCCUGCCUCUUGAACACUCUGACAGCUCCUACAAAGGGGGAAAAGCCCUCACUCAAGGUCAUUUCCUCACACCUGGGUACACUGGCCCAGGGGUGGGGGGUAGGGGUGGAAUGGGUAGACAAGGGAAGCUGAGCAGUGGGCCCCCUUGACACAGUCUGCCCAGAUAAUCAGCUCCUGACGGCAAACUGUUCCCCAUUCACUUCAGGCAGUGGCAGAGGCUCCCACAGAAUAGUCAAGGAGAGUGGGCUGGGAGAGGAGGGCUUCUUGAAUUAGGCUUCGACUCUGGGCUGUGUUUCUCCCACCUUGGCCUCUUUGCUGAGUUCACAUGGUCAGCCUAUACCUUCCCGGAUGUCCACGGGAGCCUCAUAUUCUGUGUGUCAAAAACCCCCUCCUUCCACCUUGCCUCUGGAAGCUCCUGCCUAAGCAAUGAACCUGAUAGCCUAGGUCCCUCCUUCUCCCAUAUCCAAUCAAACACUGCCUCUGGUAUAGUCCAACAAUGAAACAUCUUUUGUAUCUGACCUGUUUGCGCCAUUCUCUCUGCAACUGCUCUAGCCCCAGGGUGGUCUCUUCCAGCACUUACUAUGUGCAGAAUUCUAUAUUACUUGGUUUUUAGAUACCUUUUAUCCUGAGAACAAUUCCUACUGCCAGUCAGGAGAUUGAGGCACAGAGAGAUGAAGUAACUUGCCCAAGGUCAUACAGCUAGUAAGUGCCAGAUCCAGGCAGUCCAAUUGCAGAGUCCAUAUUCUUAACCACUUUUUAUACCACUGCCCUUGCCCUGAUUGCUGCUCUCAGCCUUGCCUUGCUCAGUCCUUCUGUGCAAUGCCACAUGAAUCUUUAAAAAAUCUUUAAUUCAUUCAACAAUGUUUGCUGUAGGUGCCAAGAACUCUACUGUAAAUUGGAGAAUUAUCUUUGAUCUCCCUAACACACUAAUCUGAUUGGCUCUCCCUACCCAGCCCAGUGUCUGGCAUAAAGUGGGUGCUUAUAGGGUAUGGGUGGAAAUGAAAUGAGCAGGAACCAUGGGAAGGCAGCUGGUGCCUGCUAUGGGCCUAUACCAGGACAGCUCAACUAGAAGUAGAGCUAGUCUGCCAGUUCAUUUUUAAGGCCUUCCAUUUCAUCUCCCUCCCUCUUUGCCAUUUCCUUGUCUCCUACUUGUUUCUCUGUCCUACUCUGCAAAGCCUAAGUCAUGUCCUUUGAGGGUCAUUGUUGGGAUGGGGAAUGAAAGGGUAGAGGGAGUUUUCACUAAUAGGCCUCCUGUAGGUCUGUAGAAAAGGGCCAGUUUGGAGACCAACUCUGAAAUAAAGCAAUAGAUGUAAAAGCUGUACUGGGACCUUGGUCUGCAGCCAGUUCUCUGCCAGCACUCUACAAAUUGACAUUGGCCAUGGGAGGUCAACAGUGGAGAAAGAUUGAGAAGAGAGCCCAGAUACAGUCUUCUGACGGUGCUCCAUCCACCUGUGCAUGAGAGGGGCAAGGAAGCCCUGAAUGGACCUGCAGUGGCGGUGGUGGUGCUGGAGCUUCGGGGGAGAGUGGGAGAAGCCAAGAAAUCCGGGAAGAAGAAGGGCAGGUCUGGAGGUGCCCUGAAGGGAGAGGAGCCAGCCUUCCUCCCAGGCAAGUUUGGUGUUCUGUGGACCUGCAGAAAUGAAUACUGCUCUCUCUCCUGGCUUCUGCCUCGCAAGGAGAAAGAGUAUGUGUGUGUCUCCUAUGUGUCCCAAUAGUGAUCUGACCUCGAGUGAUCAGUGUGCUGAAAUGACUGCUCCAUUCCAGAGAGUUGGCAAAGGAGGCUGCAGAAGCCUGAAGGAGUGGACACGGACCACCCAGUUGGCCUUUGCCUCUGGAAUGGAGAGGCAUCCAGGGACACAGGAAGUCCUUCCUAGCUUUCAGCUUCAGCCCCCCCGGUCAGUGAGCUGCACACUGCACAGCUGGCCUGAAUCUUCAUUUAACCUUCCCCAACUGCUCCAGCUCUGCCCAGGCCUCAGCUGAGGGUGCCACAAGCUGGUGGAGUGGCCACUGCUCGCCUGAUCUGCCCCAACCUGGGCCCCAUUUCCUUACCACAUGCCUGGCACUAGUCUGGAGUAAAGAAUUACAUAACUAGGGGUGGCGCCUG